rnacentral:rRNA from 1 species
UACGUAGGUCCCAAGCGUUGUUCGGAUUCAUUGGGCGUAAAGGGUGCGUAGGUGGCGCCGUAAGUGGGGUGUGAAAUUUCGGAGCUUAACUCCGAAACUGCAUUCCAUACUGCGGUGCUUGAGGACUGGAGAGGAGACUGGAAUUUACGGCGUAGCAGUGAAAUGCGUAGAGAUCGUGAGGAAGACCAGUGGCGAAGGCGGGUCUCUGGACAGUUCCUGACACUGAGGCGCGAAGGCCAGGGGAGCAAACGGG